UCCUCGCCACAUUAACUACGUAUUUCCCUUCCCCUCCUCUUCCACCCUCAUCUUUUCCUCCGCCUGUUAUUUCCCCGCCUCUCCGCUUUACAGAGGAGCCCCCGCCGUCCCGUCCCCUCUCCCCCCAUAUAUUCUCCGGCUCUUCGGCUGGUGGCUCCUCGUCGACGGGGAGCAAGAGCGUGUGCACGCUCGUGCGAGAGGAUUCCUCCGCCGGCAGCUGUGGCCGUGCCGGCAAGCCUGCCGGCUAAAGCGGGGGCCACGCCAUCGCUUUGAAGGGCACCCCGCCCAUGAUUGAUCGAGC
rnacentral:lncRNA from 1 species